UCCCAGCUGAGGACCUUGAGGGCGAAGUCCACCCCGAUGGUGGCGCGGUAGUGCUGGGAGAAGAGCUGGUGGACGUAGCGCUUGAUGAUGCUGGUCUUGCCCACGCCGAGCUCGCCGAUGACCAGCACCUUGAAGAGAACAUUAUUUGAGAGGAUGUCACUAUUUCAAAUCUUGAAUCCCCGUAAUUCAUGGUGAUGUCAUCAUGGUUUGAUGAAGACUCAUAUAUAGAGAUAUGGCUUGGAAGUAGCAACAAAGGAAGGCCUCCUCUGCUCUUUGGGUGAAAGGACCUGGAGUUGGAGGUCUAGAGAAGAGGCCAUUUCUCCAGCGAAGGAGGCAGCUAAUCAAGAGAUGUACACAUGCUAAAGCAGGAAUGAGCGAAAGACUGGCCAGAAACAUCCUCAUCAAAUGAGCUCAGCUGGAUUAUUCGGUUCUGACGUACAUACUGAUGAAGAGGAGGAGACAGGAAGAAGAGCAAGGAGAAGAAAGGUCUGAUGCUGCUGCUUGCUUUAGGUAUUGUCCAGGAGGAGCACAUUGAGAAGCAGGGGUAUUGCAGGAGAAACCAAUCCCAAAUGCACCUGCAGACAGUUUGCUUCAGUAAGAAUUUAAGUCAUUAAAAAAUGGGAUUAUGAGACUCAAAGGAUCAUUGCUUCAAUGUUUACUUUGUAUUAUCCAUGACAUGUAUUGUCAGCUGACCUUGAAUUUUAUCUAACUCUCUCUUAGGUCAUCAGGUUUUUCCUCACUGCUGGACUAGUCUCUGGACUCCUCCACCUACCGUCUUAUUUCUUUUUUCCCCCUCAUUUACAGAAAAAAAGUAUUUAUGAAAGCUAUCUAGAUGGGGAUCUCCCAGGGGCACCUCUCCUGCUCUAGGCUGUGAGGACUCCCAUCCCUGCCCCUGGGUCAGCUGCUUCUCCCCUCACCACACCGGCCAGCGAAUAAGGACACAUUCUCUUCUCUUUCUGCCGGGACAGCACUCCCUCUUUCUCCUCCCUGUUUUCUUGCUCUUUCUCAGACUUCUUUUUUGUGAUUCUCCAUCAUCCAUGAGAUCAAGAUAGGGUGAUGUUCCUCAGGAACCCAGUUCUCUUCUUUAUGUACAUUGUUCCCCCAGGUGAAAUCACCCAGUCUCACAUUUUUGUACGUAUCGUCUGCAUUUUGUUGACUCAAAUGUUCACCUCUUGCCAGUGCUGUGCCUCCAGAUGUUGCAUCCACCCACCUGCUGACCAUGGCUGGAACCAGGCUCCCACUUCCCAUCCCACCAAAGUGGUCAGCAUCUCAGCAAGUGUCAUCUCCACUUCUCUGUUGUUCAGACCUCAAAAUCUUGGAGCCAUUGCUUCACUCAGUUCUUUCUCUCACUCCCCACAUCGAAUCCUCUAGCCAUUACCUUCACUUAAUGUUUUAAAAAUAUUUGCACAGUACCUGUAACAUGUCUGGUGCUGUUCUGGAAGCUGCAGACACAGAAGAUAAUGAAGCAGACAAAAGGCCUGUCCUCAGAUUCUGGCGACUUUAAAAUAGAUCCACAAUGAUGCCGCCCUUCACCUCCUGCACAUCCCGAGCACUACCACUCUAGAUGGUCUCCCCCAUCUCCCUGGAUUAUUGUAGCAGCCUUGGGCUUCCACUCUUGUCCCCCAGAGUCUUCCCUGUCCUGGCCGGAGUGAUCAUUCUAAAACAUAGAUCAUGGCUUUGCUCUUCCCAUAACCCUCCAAUGGCUCCUCACUUUCUCAGAGCAACAUCCAAAGUCUUUAACUAAACCCGCAAGGCUAUCUAUGACCUGGCCCCAGCCAUUGCUCCUCUGCCCCCACUGAUGCCCUCCUUUCCUCUGACUUCAGCCUCCUUGCUCUUCCCCCUGACUCUUUAAAUGGCCCACAAUGCACGGCCGUAUUUCUUGCUGCUUGGCAUAUCCCCACACUUUAGAACUCCCCUAAACCAUCACCUUACUCAGAGGCCUUCCCUGAUCCUUAAUAUGAAAUAGCAUUUGCACCUACAUCACUCUCUACCCCCUCCCCUGUUUGCUACAUGCACGUCUACAUGUACCCCUUGGCAGUCUCUUCUAUCUAGCAUGUGUGUCUUUGAAAGCUGGGACUUUGUUUUGCCCACUGCUGUAUCUCCUUUUGCCUAGAGCAGUGCCUGAUAAUAUUAUGUGCUCAAAAUUUUAUUGAAUUUUCUUCAAUACUGGAAUUCUAUAAUUUGCUAAUUUAUAAGUAUGUUGACCUAAAGUCCCUUUUUACCAAAGACCUGCAUUUAAUAAUAGCAAUGAUGUGUUACUUUUUUUCCUUUUGAACAAUGACCAAGUUCUGCUUUGUAUUACUAUUAUUACUAGAUUUUCAACUCUUACAUAUCUAUAUGGCUUUAUUGUAAGGUGUUUGACUCUGUCCCUAGAGGGAAGUACGUUAAGGACAAGGACUGUCAUUCCCCUUUGUAAACCCCUAAUCCUAGAAGGUGCUUCAUCCUUGGAAGUGCGGUGGGUGAGACCUUCCUUGAGUUCUUUUGGAUCUUGAAGAAACAAAAAUUGCAGGACAUUAAAAAGAAAACCAAAGGCAUGUAUACCUUCCAUUAUUCUCCAUUAAGCACAAGGUUAAACACUCCACAGCCAGUCUUUGCAAUGUUCCCAGCCCCCUGCCGCUGGUGACAUUCUUGAGUGCCCCUCCUCACCUCAGGAUGGGUGGGGCUGCCAUAGAAAAGCAUAGCUGUUCUGUCCUCCAGUGUAGCCAAACCCCACAGGGAAACCCACUAGCAGUUCCAGCAGGGAGGGGGUGCUUUCUCCACUUCUCUUUACAUUCCGCUGGAUAGAAUCUGGGCAUCCAUGGUAGCAUACAAUUAUAAUUUCCUACUGCCUUAUUUGAGCUGCAAAGGGAUAAGCUUUCCUUUCAUAUAUAUAGAAAUAUAAAACCAGCAGGCAUGAUUUCUCAACAAAAGAUAUUCACACAGCUUUGCAGAUAUUUUGCAGCCAUCCCUUUUCCUUGUCUCUGCCGACUGCAGUUCAGCUCCCUGCGGGGACACGUUGUCAAUGCCUGGUAACCUCCUGCUCUCCUCUGGGAAGGGAAACCAGUCCGAGGCCCACCAGGGGCUCAGGUCCCAGGUAGGCUGUUUCCCACAGCAUUCCCUAUUACGGCACUUGGUUAAUACUGCUAGAAUUAAAUUAAUCUUGUCACGUCCUGCUCUCUACUUCUCAUCUUACCGCAGAACUGAGCUUACAUGGCACACAGCUCAGGUGCUUAAAGAUGUUUAUUAAAUAAAUUGG